UGCGAUGGUAAAAAUGCGAUGGUAUCUA
rnacentral:sRNA from 1 species